rnacentral:rRNA from 1 species
GUGAUGGGUAGGGGAGCGUCGUGUGCCGGGUGAAGCAGCCGUGGAAGCGAGUUGUGGACGGUUCACGAGUGAGAAUGCAGGCAUGAGUAGCGAUACACACGUGGGAAACGUGUGCGCCGAUUGACUAAGGGUUCCUGGGUCAAGCUGAUCUGCCCAGGGUAAGUCGGGACCUAAGGCGAGGCCGACAGGCGUAGUCGAUGGACAACCGGUUGAUAUUCCGGUACCCGCUUUGAAACGCCCAGUAUCGAGCCCAUUAAUGCUAAGGCCGUGAAGCCGCCGGCUGAGUCUUCGGACGAGGUCGGAGUGGUGGAGCCGCUGACCCGAGGUGGUAGUAGGUAAGCGAUGGGGUGACGCAGGAAGGUAGUCCAGCCCGGGCGGUGGUUGUCCCGGGGUAAGGGUGUAGGACGUCACGUAGGCAAAUCCGCGUGACAUGUGUCUGAGACCUGAUGCCGAGCCGAUUGUGGUGAAGUGGAUGAUCCUAUGCUGUCGAGAAAAGCCUCUAGCGAGUUUCAUGGCGGCCCGUACCCUAAACCGACUCAGGUGGUCAGGUAGAGAAUACCGAGGCGUUCGGGUGAACUAUGGUUAAGGAACUCGGCAAAAUGCCCCCGUAACUUCGGGAGAAGGGGGGCCACGCCUGGUGAUGAGUCUUGCACUCUGAGCUGGGGGUGGCCGCAGAGACCAGCGAGAAGCGACUGUUUACUAAAAACACAGGUCCGUGCGAAGCCGUAAGGCGAUGUAUACGGACUGACGCCUGCCCGGUGCUGGAACGUUAAGGGGACCGGUUAGCUCCAUUUCGGUGGGGCGAAGCUGAGAACUUAAGCGCCAGUAAACGGCGGUGGUAACUAUAACCAUCCUAAGGUAGCGAAAUUCCUUGUCGGGUAAGUUCCGACCUGCACGAAUGGCGUAACGACUUCUCGACUGUCUCAACCAUAGGCCCGGUGAAAUUGCACUACGAGUAAAGAUGCUCGUUUCGCGCAGCAGGACGGAAAGACCCCGGGACCUUUACUACAGUUUGAUAUUGGUGUUCGGUUCGGCUUGUGUAGGAUAGGUGGGAGACUGUGAAGCUUGGACGCCAGUUCAGGUGGAGUCGUCGUUGAAAUACCACUCUGGUCGUGCUGGAUGUCUAACCUGGGUCCGUGAUCCGGAUCAGGGACAGUGUCUGAUGGGUAGUUUAACUGGGGCGGUUGCCUCCUAAAGGGUAACGGAGGCGCCCAAAGGUUCCCUCAGCCUGGUUGGCAAUCAGGUGUUGAGUGUAAGUGCACAAGGGAGCUUGACUGUGAGACCGACGGGUCGAGCAGGGACGAAAGUCGGGACUAGUGAUCCGGCGGUGGCUUGUGGAAGCGCCGUCGCUCAACGGAUAAAAGGUACCCCGGGGAUAACAGGCUGAUCUUCCCCAAGAGUCCAUAUCGACGGGAUGGUUUGGCACCUCGAUGUCGGCUCGUCGCAUCCUGGGGCUGGAGUCGGUCCCAAGGGUUGGGCUGUUCGCCCAUUAAAGCGGUACGCGAGCUGGGUUUAGAACGUCGUGAGACAGUUCGGUCCCUAUCCGCUGUGCGCGUAGGAGUCUUGAGAAGGGCUGUCCCUAGUACGAGAGGACCGGGACGGACGAACCUCUGGUGUGCCAGUUGUCCUGCCAAGGGCAUGGCUGGUUGGCUACGUUCGGGAGGGAUAACCGCUGAAAGCAUCUAAGCGGGAAGCCUGCUUCGAGAUGAGGACUCCCACCCACUUGAUGGGGUAAGGCUCCCAGUAGACGACUGGGUUGAUAGGCCGGAUAUGGAAGCCAGGUGACUGGUGGAGUUGACCGGUACUAAUAGGCCGAGGGCUUGUCCUCAGUUG